GGAGAGAUGCCGGAGCGGUCGAACGGGGCGGUCUUGAAAACCGCUGUGUGGGGCGACCUGCACCCAGGGUUCGAAUCCCUGUCUCUCCGCCA
rnacentral:tRNA from 1 species